rnacentral:misc_RNA from 1 species
AUCAUUUUCUCGACCACCCACCACUGAACUCUUGGUUGAGCAAAUAAGCAAAAAGGGAGAACUAACUGCAAGCAGAGAAAAUGUCUUUGGCCAAUGGAGUGAAGUCAUGCGCUAAGCUGCUGAAGUCUUCAGAAUCAUUGUUGGUGAAAUCAGCUAAUCGAGGGUUUCACUCAACUGGUGUGAAGAGAAUGGGAGGACAUGCUCACGGACAUGACGAACCGUAUUAUUUGCAUGCAAAGCAUAUGUACAACUUGGAUAGGAUGAAACAUCAGAAGUUGACCAUGACGCUUGGAGUAUUAACUGCAUUCAGCAUUGGCGUGGGUGUUCCAAUCUAUGCAGUCAUCUUUCAGCAAAAGAAGACGGCCUCUGGAUGAUGACCAAAAGAAUGUGCGUGUCAUUUUAGCACGACAAUAAGAAGAUUCGUUGCGCCUCAGUUUGUCUCGUUCAUUUUCUUAACUUUGUAUAAACCCUCG